rnacentral:rRNA from 1 species
UAGGGAAUAUUGGGCAAUGGGCGAAAGCCUGACCCAGCAACGCCGCGUGCGCGAUGAAGGCCUUCGGGUCGUAAAGCGCUUUUGAGAGGGACGAGAUAGGACGGUACCUCUGGAAUAAGUCACGGCUAACUACGUGCCAGCAGCCGCGGUAAAACGUAGGUGGCAAGCGUUAUCCGGAUUCACUGGGCGUAAAGCGCGUGCAGGUGGCUUCGUAAGUUGGACGUUAAAUCUCCCGGCCUAACCGGGAGGAGUCGUUCAAUACUGCGGGGCUGGAGGGCAGAAGAGGGGGGUGGAAUUGCUGGUGUAGUGGUGAAAUGCGUAGAUAUCAGCAGGAACACCCGUGGCGAAAGCGGCCCCCUGGUCUGCUCCUGACACUCAGACGCGAAAGCUAGGGGAGUGAACGGGAUUAGAAACCCCGGUAAUCCUAGCCGUAAACGAUGGAUGCUAGGUGUGGGUGGUAUUGACCCCAUCCGUGCCGAAGCUAACGCGUUAAGCAUCCCGCCUGGGGACUACGGCCGCAAGGUUA